rnacentral:rRNA from 1 species
AGCCCAGAGCCUGAAUCAGUGUGUGUGUUAGUGGAAGCGUCUGGAAAGGCGCGCGAUACAGGGUGACAGCCCCGUACACAAAAAUGCACAUACUGUGAGCUCGAUGAGUAGGGCGGGACACGUGGUAUCCUGUCUGAAUAUGGGGGGACCAUCCUCCAAGGCUAAAUACUCCUGACUGACCGAUAGUGAACCAGUACCGUGAGGGAAAGGCGAAAAGAACCCCGGCGAGGGGAGUGAAAAAGAACCUGAAACCGUGUACGUACAAGCAGUGGGAGCCUCUUUUAUGGGGUGACUGCGUACCUUUUGUAUAAUGGGUCAGCGACUUAUAUUCUGUAGCAAGGUUAACCGAAUAGGGGAGCCGAAGGGAAACCGAGUCUUAACUGGGCGUUAAGUUGCAGGGUAUAGACCCGAAACCCGGUGAUCUAGCCAUGGGCAGGUUGAAGGUUGGGUAACACUAACUGGAGGACCGAACCGACUAAUGUUGAA